rnacentral:rRNA from 1 species
GAUGAACGCUGGCGGCGUGCUUAACACAUGCAAGUCGAACGGUGAAGCAGGAGCUUGCUCUUGUGGAUCAGUGGCGAACGGGUGAGUAACACGUGAGCAACCUGCCCCUGACUCUGGGAUAAGCGCUGGAAACGGCGUCUAAUACUGGAUAUGUGAUGUGACCGCAUGGUCUGCAUCUGGAAAGAAUUUCGGUUGGGGAUGGGCUCGCGGCCUAUCAGCUUGUUGGUGGGGUAAUGGCUCACCAAGGCGUCGACGGGUAGCCGGCCUGAGAGGGUGGCCGGCCACACGGGGACUGAGACACGGCCCAGACUCCUACGGGAGGCAGCAGUGGGGAAUAUUGCACAAUGGGCGGAAGCCUGAUGCAGCAACGCCGCGUGAGGGAUGACGGCCUUCGGGUUGUAAACCUCUUUUAGCAGGGAAGAAGCGAAAGUGACGGUACCUGCAGAAAAAGCACCGGCUAACUACGUGCCAGCCGCCGCCGUAA